UGCGGGGGCACCUGCACCUCGCUGGGUUUGAUGUUGUCGAUCAUGCUGUCCGCCCACGGGGUCCUCCAGCGGCACGUGCACAGGCCUACGGCCCACACCUUCGUCUUGGAGUUUCUGGGCACCUUCCAGCUCUGCUUCUGCACCCUUGAGCUGCAACUGCUGGGAGAGCAGGAACCCGCACACCCCACCUGGCCGCUGACGCUAACCUACUUCUUCUCGUUGGUGCAUGACCUGACUCUGUUGGGCACGGCCAGUAACCCGUGCAGUGUGAUGAUGCAGAAGAUGCUGGGGGGAAUGUCCCCCGAGACAGGGGAGGUGAGGCUGUUGGCUCAGCUGAUGGCUGCCCUGGGCAGCAGGUACUGUAUAGGCGCCCUGUAGAGCCUGGGACUGACCAGGUCUCACGUCGGUGAGAGGAGCUCCGUUUGCAGGACCCCCAUGCACGUCGACUUGCCCAAAGCCAUCGUCGUAGAGGCCAUCUGCUCCUUCAUCUUCCACAGUGCCCUGCUGCACUUCCAGGAGGUCGGAACCAAGCUUCGUAUCCACAUGCUGGCAGCACUCAUCACCUUUUUGGUCUAUGCAGAAGGAAGUCUAAGAGGAGCUAUAUUUAAUCCAGCUUUGGCACUUUCACUACAUUUCAAAUGUUUCGAUGAAGAUUUCUUUCAAUUUUUUAUAGUAUAUUGGCUGGCUCCUUCUUUAGGUAUAUUGUUGAUGAUUUUGACAUUUAGCUUGUUCCUUCCAUGGCUGUAUAACAACCAUACAACUAAUAAGAAGGAGUAACUGUUCCAAAAGACUCAGAUUAAGUCACAAAACAGUCUAGUUGGACGUGAUAAAGACUUUGUCUCCUCAGAUUCAGCACACUGGCUGCACUGGAUUCAUCAAUGUCACUUCCUUUGAGGAAGCUGCCUUAGUUUUCAUCACUGGGACUUAAAAAAUUACUAUGAAAAUGAGGCAUCCUGCAUUUCUCAGUUAAGACUUGUUCUUUUGAGUGUGUAUUAAAUGCUGCUAGCAGAGACUCACUAA